UUUACGGAAUAUGUUGUUGACUUUACGGGUGAGUGCUGUGUUCCUCUGAAGAAUCCCUUUGUCAGCAUGAAAAAUGCAGUGUGGAGACCACAACAGACAGAAGAGAAAAGGAAGAUAAAGAAAAGCAGAAAAGAAAGCAGGAAGAAGACCGAAGCAACAGCAGAAUAUUGAAGAGGAAGGAUCUGGAAAACAGAGCAGCCCAGGAAAGCAUUGUGACAGGCAUUUAUCUUCAUGAAGGGUCUGAGAAAGGGGAGAUGCAAACUUUCUGAGGACAACGUCAUGAAGAGUGUCCCACACACAAAUGAAAACAACUCCUUGUGCUAGGAGACACUCCCUCAAAGAACGCAAUGAGGCAAGCCUUAAUGGUCAAGCAGAUAAUAGAAGUGGUAUUACAUGCUACAGAACACAAGUAUAAAACAGGUGAAGUUAUGUGAGACUUUAGAAAGGAUCUGAAUUCUGUGGAGGCAGUUACAGAAGGGUGACAAAGAGUCCUCAUCAAGGACUGCUGUGGCCAUUGGGAAGAACAAGAUUAGAGCAAUCUACAGUAAAUUGCCUGAAGAAGGACGGAGGACAGGGUCAGAAAGAAAAUGAACUGCCACACAGAUAACACAGGAGAAGAAUUAAAAACACUGUUCUUUGUAG
ensembl:lncRNA